UACGGAGGGAGCUAGCGUUGUUCGGAAUUACUGGGCGUAAAGCGCACGUAGGCGGCUUUGUAAGUUAGAGGUGAAAGCCCGGGGCUCAACCCCGGAAUUGCCUUUAAGACUGCAUCGCUUGAAUCCAGGAGAGGUGAGUGGAACUCCGAGUGUAGAGGUGAAAUUCGUAGAUAUUCGGAAGAACACCAGUGGCGAAGGCGGCUCAUCUGGCCCGGUACUGACGCUGAGGUGGCGAAAGCGUGGGGAGCAAACAGG
rnacentral:rRNA from 1 species